CUUCAAUAAUAUAAUAUCACAUACAAAUCCAAAAUUUUUUCAUAUUUUUAACCACACAUUUCUCAUCAAUACACUAUUCAAAAAUACAUUUUUACGAAAAUAAUGUAACUCAAACAAGUGUUAAAUCAUCAAUCACCAACAUUUGUAUUUUAUUAGUAUUUGCUCAUCCAGAAAUAAAAGCUUACUAAAAUGCUCACCCGCUUUUAGAAAAAAUUACUCAUUCAUCACUCAUUUCAAUUCCAUCCAGCCGAUUGGGCAAAAAAAUCCACGUGACAGAUGAAAAUUAUACGUAGCCACUAACAUUGUUAAAAAAAAAAUGACAGGUGGAUUAAUCCAUUAACAUUAAAAGUGAUUUCUCUGUAAAAUAUGGAAGAAUCGUCUUUCCCUUUCUCCGGUCCUUUUUCACAAGAAUUUGUUCCGGGUGUAAUAUUUCUCUUCAUAGCCCCCAAGCACCGACGGCAUCCAUAGAUUUCCAAGUCAACUCGCUUCCACAAUAUAUAUUAUCCCCAAGCUUAAAGUCACAUUCUGCGAAAGAGUGCAUCAUUUGGCAGUCUUCUUUUCUUUGUCCAGCCAACCAUUUUGCAUAGUCUUCCAGUUGAGUGUCUUAGGUCCGAGGAAAUUUCAAUUUUAGUGCUCUUAAUUGGAUGCGUGCAAGGAGGCAAUCAAGGAUGUUUGUAUCUGAAGUGCAACCACCGGAAUCAGCAUCUAAUUUUCACUUACUGCCAACACUUGAAAUUGGUUUUAAUAAUACUGUAGAAUUUACCAAUCAUGGUCCUCUACAAAAUGCGCCCAAUAUUUCAACAACGGAGAAAAUGAAUCUCCAAAUCAUAAUGAAAGACUUGCAAGAAAGAGAGAACCAAGAAAAAGCAAAGAAGAGAGCUGCAUAACAACAAACAAAAUGGUUAUACGAGGAUUAUUUCCAUAUGCACCCGAGGGAGAGAAAGAAUUUAACAACUCACUGAACUCAGUAGCGCAUUAAUUUAGUUUCUUGGCUAUCAUUAGGGUUUUAGAGAUAAGAACUAUGAAUUGAUUGUACCUAAAAUUGUUUAUGCUACUAGAUAGUUCUGCUGCGGAGUUCCCUAGCUGUGAAUCUCUUGUGCAACUUUGACCUGUAAAAUAUUCUGCAGCUUAAGACAUUGUUUUUAAAGUUUGCCAACAAACAAAGCAAAUAGACUAUUUUCAUAUACGUUAUCAUUCAGUGACUAAGAAGCAUAUCAGGUUUUCUAUUUCAUUUCAGCAUCACAUAAACUGCAACAGGACUCUCCUUGUGUUGUUUCAGCAAUUUGCAAAUCAGAAGGAAGAAAAUAUCACGAGGUGAACCAACAAGAACCUAUUUCAUUUAAAACAUCAAAAACAUAUGGUUUUCUUUGAUGAUCGUACAACAAUUGCCACUUACACGACACCAUCAACAUUACUACAUCUUCACCGACAAACAAAUACCAAAACAUCAAUAAGUACCUACUAACUACACAAUCAAAUCAACGUACCAACCCAUUACUUUUUUUCCUACAAGUCAAAUAACAACAACAUCCUACCAACUAAAAGACAUAAAUUUCUGAAUUUUCUCUGAAGCUCGUUUCAAUUGGAGGGUGAUUUUGGGUGAUAUAGGGAUACAUUUUUGUGAGAAUAUUGAUUUGGAGGAGAAAUUGAUAUGGGAUGAAAAAUGAUUUGGGAUUAGAAAUUGAUUGGGUAUUUAAUCCGAGAAGAAAUUGAUUGGGUUUUGAAUUGGGGAAGAAAUCUUGUGAACAAAAUCUCAAAGAGGUUAUACUGGAAUUGCAUUGAAGAGACCAUACAAUUCUUAUAUGUACACAAUUAAGAGCACAAAAAUUGGGAUUUCAUCAGACCUAGGACUCUCAACUGGAAAACUAUGCAAAAUGGUUGGCUGGGCAGAGAAAAGAAGACUACCAACUAAUGCACUCAUUCGUAGAAGGAGAAUAUAUAUUGUGGAAGCGGAUCGACUUGGACUCCGGUGGAUGUCGUCCGUGCUUGGGCCGGUGAAAAGAAAUAUUACACUUAGAACCAACUCUUGUGAAGGACGAAGAAAGAGCAAAACGAUUCUUCCAUACCUUAAAUCUUUACUCGUUGUAGCAAGCACUUCCUUUCUUUUUUUUAAUCGAAUUUUUAUCUUCAAUAAUUAAUUAGUACAUCUCGUCAUUGACGAUGAUUUAUAUUAAAAUAUUUUAUUUCCAUAUUUUGAAACGAUACUUUUCUAUUGAUUCAUUUUUUAAAGAUAUGAUGGGAAAAUAAAUUGCACUAUUUCAACGAAAUUUUUG
rnacentral:lncRNA from 1 species